GCGGGUGUAGUUUAGUGGUAGAACGAUAGCCUUCCAAGCUAUACACGAGGGUUCGAUUCCCUUCACCCGCUCCA
rnacentral:tRNA from 1 species